GGCUCAGAGCGAACGCUGGCGGCAGGCCUAAUACAUGCAAGUCGAGCGCACCUUCGGGUGAGCGGCGGACGGGUGAGUAACGCGUGGGAACGUGCCCUUUGGUACGGGAUAACUGAGGGAAACUUCAGCUAAUACCGUAUGUGCCCUACGGGGGAAAGAUUUAUCGCCAUUGGAGCGGCCCGCGUUGGAUUAGGUAGUUGGUGGGGUAAAGGCCCACCAAGCCGACGAUCCAUAGCUGGUCUGAGAGGAUGAUCAGCCACACUGGGACUGAGACACGGCCCAGACUCCUACGGGAGGCAGCAGUAGGGAAUCUUGCGCAAUGGGCGAAAGCCUGACGCAGCCAUGCCGCGUGAAUGAUGAAGGUCUUAGGAUUGUAAAAUUCUUUCACCGGGGAAGAUAAUGACGGUACCCGGAGAAGAAGCCCCGGCUAACUUCGUGCCAGCAGCCGCGGUAAUACGAAGGGGGCUAGCGUUGCUCGGAAUUACUGGGCGUAAAGGGCGCGUAGGCGGAUGUUUAAGUCGGGGGUGAAAGCCCGGGGCUCAACCUCGGAAUUGCCUUCGAUACUGGACAUCUUGAGUACGGGAGAGGUGAGUGGAACUCCGAGUGUAGAGGUGAAAUUCGUAGAUAUUCGGAAGAACACCAGUGGCGAAGGCGACUCACUGGCCCGUUACUGACGCUGAGGCGCGAAAAGCGUGGGGAGCAAACAGGAUUAGAU
rnacentral:rRNA from 1 species